rnacentral:rRNA from 1 species
AAAACUCUGUCCUCAAGGAAGAUAAUGACGGUACUUGAGGAGGAAGCCCCGGCUAACUACGUGCCAGCAGCCGCGGUAAUACGUAGGGGGCUAGCGUUAUCCGGAUUUACUGGGCGUAAAGGGUGCGGAGGCGGUCUUUCAAGUCAGGAGUGAAAGGCUACGGCUCAACCGUAGUAAGCUCUUGAAACUGGGAGACUUGAGUGCAGGAGAGGAGAGUGGAAUUCCUAGUGUAGCGGUGAAAUGCGUAGAUAUUAGGAGGAACACCAGUUGCGAAGGCGGCUCUCUGGACUGUAACUGACGCUGAGGCACGAAAGCGUGGGGAGCAAACAGGAUUAGAUACCCUGGUAG